CUCUGUUUGUCUCUUUCUAGUCUUUAUAACUGUGACAUUACAGAUGUUUCUUCUUUAACUCAGUCUUUGACAAACACAAAAGCUCUGCAGUUUCUAAAACAGCUUGAUCUGAGAUAUAAUAAGAUUGGAGACUCAAAGCAGAAGCUCAUUGAUGUGCUACGAGACUCAAACUGUAAACUGAGUGAAUGACGAUACGGAAAUGACGUCUGCUGUCCAUCCACUGGUGUCCAGCCACUGGUGUCUAGCAAGAAGUGAGUCUGCGGGGCUGCAGCUGGAUGCCUCUCCUUCAGUUUGGCGGUUUUCUGAGGUAUUGCUCUUUCACUAGUAAACACAAAGCAACAGAAUGUGGACUCAUACACAUGGUUUAUUUAAUCUCAUGUAAUGUGCUGAUUUAUUAGGCUUUUUAUUAUAUAAAAUAACACCAAAGACUUAUGCACUCAGUCUGUCUAUAAUAUGAAAACUGGUGAAACAAAGAAAAAUAUGAUAACAGUGA